UUGAUCCUGGCUCAGGAUGAGCGCUAGCGGCAUGCUUAACACAUGCAAGUCGAGGGGUAAGUUCCUACUUGUAGGAAACACGACCGGCGCACGGGUGAUUAACGCUGUAUGCAACCUGCCUCUAACUGGGGCAUAGCCCGAAGAAAUUCGGAUUAAUUUCCCAUAUCAUUCAAUGAUCGCAUGAUGAUCGAAUGAAAGCUCCGUGCGGUUAGAGAUGGGCAUGCGGGUCAUUAGCUUGUUGGUGAGGUAACGGCUCACCAAGGCUGCGAUGACUAUGGGGCCUGAGAUGGUGAUCCCCCGCACUGGUACUGAGACACGGACCAGACUUCUACGGAACGCAGCAGUGAGGAAUAUUGGGCAAUGGAGGCAACUCUGACCCAGCCAUGCCGCGUGCAGGAUGACGGCCCUAUGGGUUGUAAACUGCUUUUCUGAGAGAAGAAUCCCCCCGAAUUCUCGGGGGUUGCCGGUAUCUCAGGAAUAAGCAUCGGCUAACUCCGUGCCAGCAGCCGCGGUAAUACGGAGGAUGCAAGCGUUAUCCGGAUUCAUUGGGUUUCAAGGGUGCGUAUGCGGGAAAGUAAGUCACUGGUGAAAGCCUGCAGCUCAACUGUGGAACUGCCAUUGAUACUGCUUUUCUUGAGUCUGGUCGAGGUAGGCGGCAUGUGUAAUGUAGCGGUGAACUGCUUAGAUCUUACACAGAACACCGAUUGCGAAGGCAGCUUACUAAACCGAUACUGACGCUGAUGCACGAAAGCGUGGGGAGCGAACAGGAUUAGAUACCCUGGUAGUCCACGCUGUAAACUAUGAUCACUCGCUGUUGGCAAUACAUCGUCAGCGGCUGAGCGAAAGCAUUAAGUGAUCCACCUGGGGAGUACGGUCGCAAGAUUGAAGCUCAUAAGGAAUUGACGGGGGCCCGCACAAGCGGUGGAACAUAUGGUUUAAUUCGAUGAUACGAGAGGAACCGUACCUGGGCUUAAAUGUAGACUGCAAUUUCCGGGAAACCGGAAUUUCCUUCGGGACCGUCUACAAGGUGCUGCAUGGUUGUCGUCAGCUCGUGCCGUGAGGUGUCGGGUUAAGUCCCAUAACGAGCGCAACCCCU
rnacentral:rRNA from 1 species